GAUGAACGCUGGCGGCGUGCUUAACACAUGCAAGUCGAACGGUGAAGCAGGAGCUUGCUCUUGUGGAUCAGUGGCGAACGGGUGAGUAACACGUGAGCAACCUGCCCCUGACUCUGGGAUAAGCGCUGGAAACGGCGUCUAAUACUGGAUAUGUGAUGUGACCGCAUGGUCUGCAUCUGGAAAGAAUUUCGGUUGGGGAUGGGCUCGCGGCCUAUCAGCUUGUUGGUGAGGUAAUGGCUCACCAAGGCGUCGACGGGUAGCCGGCCUGAGAGGGGGACCGGCCACACUGGAGAUGGGACACGGCCCAGACGCCUAGGGGAGGCAGCAGUGGGGAAUAUUGCACAAGGGGCGGAAGCCUGAUGCAGCAACGCCGCGUGAGGGAUGACGGCCUUCGGGUUGUAAACCUCUUUUAGCAGGGAAGAGGCGAAAGUGACGGUACCUGCAGAAAAAGCACCGGCUAACUACGUGCCAGCAGCCGCCGUAA
rnacentral:rRNA from 1 species